AGAGUUGAUUCNGCUCAGGACCCACGCGACGCGUGAUUUAGACAUGCAAGUCGAUACGAGAAAGCCUUAGGGUUAGUAAAUGGGCGAGCGAGUGAGUAACACGUGGGCAAUGCUACCGUUCGUAGGGGGACAACCCGGGAGAAACCCCGGCUAAUACCCCGUAAGCUUGUCGAGUCGCAUGACAUGACAAGGAGAGGUAGCUUCGACCAUCCGGCGAAGGAGGAGCCCGCGGUUCAUUAGCUAGUUGGUGAGGUAACGGCUCACCAAGGCUACGAUGUAUAGCUGGUCUGAGAGGAUGAUCAGCCACACUGGGAAUGAGACACGGCCCAGACUCGUACGGGAGGCAGCAGUCGGGAAUCUUGCACAAUGGGCGAUAAGCGUGAUGCAGCAACACCGUGUGAGCGACGAAGGCCCUAGGGUCGUAAAGCUCUGUUGUUAGGGAAGAAGGGCGAAGGGUUAAUAGCCCUUAGCCUGACGGUACCUUUCGAGGAAGCCCCGGCUAACUACGUGCCAGCAGCCGCGGUAAUACGUAGGGGGCGAGCGUUGUCCGGAAUUAUUGGGCGUAAAGGGCGCGUAGGCGGCCUGGUAAGUUUGCUGUGAAACCUUGGGGCUCAACCCCAAGCGUGCAGUGGAUACUGUCAGGCUAGAGGAUGGUAGAGGCCAGUGGAAUUCCCGGUGUAGCGGUGAAAUGCGCAGAUAUCGGGAGGAACACCAGUAGCGAAGGCGGCUGGCUGGGCCAUUCUUGACGGUGAGGCGCGAAAGCUAGGGGAGGGAACAGGAUUAGAUACCCUGGUAGUCCUAGCCGUAAACGAUGAACACUAGGUGUGGGGGGAGUCGAAUCCCUCCGUGCCGAAGCCAACGCGUUAAGUGUUCCGCCUGGGGAGUACGGUCGCAAGGCUAAAACUCAAAUGAAUUGACGGGG
rnacentral:rRNA from 1 species